UACAGAGGUCUCAAGCGUUGUUCGGAUUCAUUGGGCGUAAAGGGUGCGUAGGCGGCGCGGUAAGUCGGGUGUGAAAUCUCGGAGCUUAACUCCGAAACUGCAUUCGAUACUGCCGUGCUUGAGGACUGGAGAGGAGACUGGAAUUUACGGUGUAGCGGUGAAAUGCGUAGAUAUCUGGAGGAACACCGGUGGCGAAGGCGGCAUCCUGGACCGGCAUUGACGCUGAGGCGCGAAAGCGUGGGGAGCAAACAGG
rnacentral:rRNA from 1 species